rnacentral:misc_RNA from 1 species
GAAACUCAAAAUUUAACACCUGUAGAAGAUCAGGUUCCUGAUGGAAAUUACGAACAUAGUAAGGAGGCAAGAGAAGAACAUUACAAGGGAGACGAUGCUUCCAGUGCAGUUGUCCAUGAAACUCAAAAUUUAACACCUGUAGAAGAGCAAGGUGGUUUGGAGAAGACUAACGAGGCAGAGCAUGUGAAGAACAAAGAAAAGAAUGAGUCUGGAUAUGACAGUAAAACAAAUAUCUCCGAGAUUGUUGAUGUCAAUCAAAAUGAAGUUCCAAAUGGCGAACCAGUGGAAAAUAAAAAUGCCACAAAUCCAGCCAAUGAACAGAGUGGCAAUGAAAGUAGUAAGCAAGGAUCGGAGGAUGGUUCCCAUGAUACGUCUGCAGUAGCAACAGAAAAAAAUGAUCAGCAGCUGAUGGAUUCUAACUCCAGUCCAGUUACUUCAGAACAUCAUGAUUCUUCACCUCAAAAUCCAAAUGAAACUCCAGAUAACACAAAGUCAAAGGGAGAGGAUUCAACUAAGAAUGAUGUUGUCCUACACGUACAAACAGAGAAAUCUGACUCAGAUGCCAGUGGCCAGCAAUCAGAUUUGAAUGUGACACCUUCCACUGCAACUGAGAAUGUAGAUUCAACUAAUCAAGAAUCAACAGAUUCUAGCAAUUCUGAGUCUGUUUCAUCUAAUGGGCUAACUGUUGAGUCCAAUAAGCCUUCAUCAGCGAGCCAAAAUAAUAAUGCAGUUCAGGGUGAAAAGUCCGAUGGUACUACCAGAGAGGGAAAUCAAGAAAUUGUUUUAUUGUCAAACACAAAUGAAAAUGCAGAUGCAGGGCAGAAGGAACAUGUUGAUUCUUCAAACUCCAUAGAGAAAGACGCAUCAUCAAAUACAAAUAACAAUGUGGAUGCUGACCAAAACGAACAUGUUGAUUCUUCAGAUUCCCAAGAGAAAGAUGUGUCCUCAAACACAAAAGAUAACGGUGAUUCUGGCCAGAAUCAGAGUGAAAAUUCUGUUCACAGCAGCACAAAUGACAAUACAGUCACAAGCCAGAAAGAACAGGUUGAUUCUAACAGCGGUGAUGCUGAUCAUAAUGAGAACAACAAUACCGUUGAAAGCAACACAAAUGACAACAGCAAUACAAAUGUCAACACAGAUGCAAGCCAAGAG